rnacentral:rRNA from 1 species
GACGUAGGUGGCGAACGUUAUCCGGAUUUGAUUGGGCGUAAAAGGCUUGUAGGUGGCCACGUCAAGUCGGAUGUGAAAUCUCCCGGCUCAACUGGGAGGGGUCAUUCGAUACUGGCGGGCUCGAGGCCGGUAGGGGGAAGCGGAAUUCCCGGUGUAGUGGUGGAAUGCGUAGAUAUCGGGAGGAACACCAGUGGCGAAGGCGGCUCCUGGGACCGGUUCUGGACACUGAGGAGCGAAAGCGUGGGGAG